UUCUGCUCAGUGUUUAUUAACAGCCGCGGUAAUUUGACCGUGCAAAGGUAGCAUAAUCAUUUGCCUUGUAAUUUGGGGCUAGAAUGAAUGGAGUAUCGAAAAUUUGACUGUCUUUUUUUUUUUUUUGAAAUUGUGUUUAUUGUGAAGAUACAGUAAUGGAUAAGUGGGACAAGAAGACCCUUUGAGCUUUACUUUGGUUAUAUUUUUUUUAUUUUCUAUAGAGUUUGAUUGGGGUGAUCGGGAAAGAAGUAGUGAUCUUUCUUUUUUUGUUGUUGAACCAGUAGUUGUUGGUUUAUAGAUUAAGUUACCAAAGGGAUAACAGCGUGAUUUUUUUUUAGAGUUCUUAUUAAAAAUUAAGAUUGCGACCUCGAUGUUGACUUAUAGUUUCCUUUUGGUGU
rnacentral:rRNA from 1 species